CAUACUGCAAGGUCUCAAUUCCCAACCUUUUUAUAGUGCCUUUUGUGAUGAUUGCCCCAAGAUUUUGAGAUCUACAGACAUUAAUCUAGACUGAAGUCUAGACAUUGGGAAGGACAGUGUCAAGAUGUGUAUGAGCGAUGAGCCUGACUGCAGAUGUUGACUUUGCACUGGAGGCAUCUCUGGCACAACAGGUCAGUCACAUUGAAGAGAGUCACAGAUGCACUUCCCAUGCAUAGAACAUGCAUGGUUUCGGCAGAUGAAAACGCCGGGGUUGAGCUCCAAACACAGAAAAUUAAGGGGAUACAGAAGCUGAGUGGCAACAGAACUCAGGUGCAGUACACGAACUCACCUUUCUGAUGGAUCACCUGGAAUUCAGACGCCUCAUGCUAACCCAC